CUUGCCUUGUCUGAUUAGUGGCGAACGGGUGAGUAACACGUGAGUAACCUGCCCCCCUCUUCGGGAUAACCUCGGGAAAUCGGGGCUAAUACCGGAUAUGACUUCGCACCGCAUGGUGUGUUGUGGAAAGUUUUUCGGUGGGGGAUGGACUCGCGGCCUAUCAGUUUGUUGGUGAGGUAAUGGCUCACCAAGGCGAUGACGGGUAGCCGGCCUGAGAGGGCGACCGGCCACACUGGGACUGAGACACGGCCCAGACUCCUACGGGAGGCAGCAGUGGGGAAUAUUGCACAAUGGGCGAAAGCCUGAUGCAGCGACGCCGCGUGGGGGAUGACGGCCUUCGGGUUGUAAACCUCUUUCAGCAGGGAAGAAGCGAGAGUGACGGUACCUGCAGAAGAAGCGCCGGCUAACUACGUGCCAGCAGCCGCGGUAAUACGUAGGGCGCAAGCGUUGUCCGGAAUUAUUGGGCGUAAAGAGCUUGUAGGUGGCUUGUCGCGUCUGCCGUGAAAACCCGAGGCUCAACCUCGGGCGUGCGGUGGGUACGGGCAGGCUAGAGUGUGGUAGGGGAGACUGGAACUCCUGGUGUAGCGGUGAUAUGCGCAGAUAUCAGGAAGAACACCGAUGGCGAAGGCAGGUCUCUGGGCCAUUACUGACACUGAGAAGCGAAAGCAUGGGGAGCGAACAGGAUUAGAUACCUGGUAGUCAAGG
rnacentral:rRNA from 1 species